rnacentral:rRNA from 1 species
AUUGAACGCUGGCGGCAGGCUUAACACAUGCAAGUCGAGCGGAGAUGAGGUGCUUGCACCUUAUCUUAGCGGCGGACGGGUGAGUAAUGCUUAGGAAUCUGCCUAUUAGCGGGGGACAACAUUCCGAAAGGAAUGCUAAUACCGCAUACGUCCUACGGGAGAAAGCAGGGGAUCUUCGGACCUUGCGCUAAUAGAUGAGCCUAAGUCGGAUUAGCUAGUUGGUGGGGUAAAGGCCUACCAAGGCGACGAUCUGUAGCGGGUCUGAGAGGAUGAUCCGCCACACUGAGACUGAGACACGGCCCAGACUCCUACGGGAGGCAGCAGGGGGGAAUAUUGGACAAUGGGGGGAACCCUGAUCCAGCCAUGCCGCGUGUGUGAAGAAGGCCUUAUGGUUGUAAAGCACUUUAAGCGAGGAGGAGGCUACUGAGACUAAUACUCUUGGAUAGUGGACGUUACUCGCAGAAUAAGCACCGGCUAACUCUGUGCCAGCCGCCGCCGUAAAAC